CACCGGCGGCUCGAGUGGUGGCCACUUUUAUUGGGUCUAAAGCGUCCGUAGCCGGCUUGGCAAGUCCCCUGGGAAAUCUGGCGGCUUAACCGUCAGGCGUCCAGAGGAUACUGCCAGGCUUGGGACCGGGAGAAGUGAGAGGUACCUCAGGGGUAGGGGUGAAAUCUUGUGAUCCCUGAGGGACCACCAGUGGCGAAGGCGUCUCACUAGAACGGGUCCGACGGUCAGGGACGAAAGCUGGGGGCACGAACCGG
rnacentral:rRNA from 1 species